rnacentral:rRNA from 1 species
CAGAGGGUGCAAGCGUUAAUCGGAUUUACUGGGCGUAAAGCGUGCGUAGGCGGUUGAUUAAGUCGGAUGUGAAAGCCCUGGGCUCAACCUGGGAACUGCAUUCGAUACUGGUUAACUUGAGUACGGUAGAGGGUGGCGGAAUUCCGGGUGUAGCGGUGAAAUGCGUAGAUAUCCGGAGGAACACCGAUGGCGAAGGCAACCACCUGGGCCUGUACUGACGCUGAGGCACGAAAGCGUGGGGAGCAAACAGGAUU